GUGGUUGUAGCUCAACUGGUUAGAGCAUCGGUUUGUGGAGCCGAAGGUUGCGGGUUCAAGUCCCGUCAGCCACCCCA
rnacentral:tRNA from 1 species